rnacentral:lncRNA from 1 species
AAGGAAUUUCUUUGAAAAUUCAUAACUUCUUUAUCUGAUGUCGGUUUUUGCCAGACUUUUUACCGCUGGAAUACCAUUGUCGAGACCUUCGAUUCUCGUUUAGGUCAUUCCGGCCAAAAGUCGCUCGAUCUCCGAUUCGAGUUUUUAGCUGUCUGUUGCUAAGCCGAACUUGGAAAAAUCAUAACUUCGCUAUAUGAAGUCGGAUUUGGGCGUUCUUUUCACGUACGAUCAUGGUUCAAAGACAUUUAAUCAUAGAAGGAAAUUAAGUAGAACUUAUUUAUACAUUUUAUUAUGAAAGUAACUUUUUAUUAUUCAGAAGUGGUUACAAUACUUGACCCAUUUUGGUCGUUACAAAGAGUUGAAAUAUCGGGUUGUCACAUCAUCCCCCCGUUAGAGAGAAUUUCGUCCCGAAAUUUAAAGUAGUAAAGAUACUAGUGAACAUGAAAGAGAUGAGGGUACUUUUGUUUCAUCUGAUCUUCGCGUUCCCAUGUGAAUUCGGGUCCCCGCUUGGCGUUCCAGCGAACCUUCACGAUGGGUAUGCGACUUUGUUUUGUUUGUUUGACCUCUCGGUCCAUGAUUUCUACUGGUUCUUCCACAAAGUUGAGGCUCUCGUUGAUCUCGAUCUCGUCGAGUGGAAUAACAAGAGUCUCGUCGGACAGACACUUUUUCAAGUUUGAGACGUGGAAGGUUGGAUGGAUGUUACUAAGUUCGCGCGGUAGGUUAAGCUUGUAAGCCACAGGGCCGAUUCUGGCAAGAAUCUCGAAAGGCCCUAUGUAUCUUGGAUUUAGUUUCCCACGCUUUCCAAAUCGUAUUAAACCCUUCCACGGUGAGACCUUUAAUAAGACGUGGUCUCCUACCUGGAAUUCCAAAGGUUUCCUCCUUUGGUCAGCGUAGCUUUUCUGUCGGUCUCUUGAGGCUUUCAAUCGUUCACGAAUCUGAACGAUCUUCUCUGUUGUUUCACGUAUGAUCUCCGGACCGGUGAGAGUGCUUUCAGGAACUCUUCCUCUAGCUAACUGGGUAUCGCCAACUUCAGUCCAGCACAGAGGGGAUCUGCACUUUCGACCAUAGAGGGCUUCAAACGGAGCAGCCUUUAUGCUUGUAUGAUAACUAUUGUUGUAUGAAAAUUCGACAAGGGGUAAAUGAAUAUCCCAUGCCUUUCCAAAGUCAAUCACGCAGGCUCUCAGCAUGUCUUCUAAAGUUUGUAUUGUUCUCUCACUUUGUCCGUCUGUCUGUGGGUGGUAGGCUGUACUCAUGUCUAGCCUAGUUCCCAGGGAACUUUGUAGUGACUGCCAGAAUCUUGAAGUGAAUCUACUAUCUCGAUCGGAGAUAAUGGAUAUCGGAACACCAUGCAGUCGCACUACUUCCCUUAAGUAAGUUCUUGUAAGCUUCUCCAUUUUGUCAGUCUCCUUGAUGGGUAGGAAAUGUGCGGAUUUGGUCAAUCUGUCGACAAUGACCCAUAUGGUAUCGAGUCCACUUGUCGUCUUGGGUAACUUGGUUAUGAAGUCCAUAGUAAUCCGCUCCCAUUUCCAUUCCGGUAUCUCUGGUUGUUGUAGUAGUCCUGACGGUUUCUGAUACUCGACCUUAACCUUAGCGCAAGUAAGACAUUUACUCACGAAGGUAGCAAUUUCUGCUUUCAUGUUAGGCCACCAGUACAGUUUCUUAAGAUCCAGAUACAUUUUAUCUGAACCCGGGUGAACGGAAUAUCUUGAGUUGUGAGCCUCGGUCAUGACUACGUUUCUGAAACCACCAUGAUUUGGGGUCCAGAUUCGGUCCAUGAGAUAGUAGGCUCCGCCACCCUUGACUUCUAAAUUCUUCUCCAUUCCUCGCAGGGAUUCACCCGCCACAUUUUCAGGUUGCAAAGCUUCCAUUUGUGCUUCCUUAAUUUGUGUGGAUAAGUGGGAAUGGAUAGUCAUGGUCAGAGAUUUGACCCUCCGACCAGUGUAUUCCUUUCGACUGAGGGCGUCGGCUACUACGUUGGCCUUGCCAGGAUGAUAACGAAUUUCGCAUUCGUAGUCAUUCAGUAACUCAACCCAUCGUCGUUGUCGCAUGUUGAGUUCCUUCUGAUCGAAAAUGUGUUGAAGGCUCUUGUGAUCGGUGAAAAUAGUACUCUUUGUUCCGUAUAAGUAGUGCCUCCAGAUCUUCAGAGCAAAUACCACUGCUCCUAACUCGAGAUCGUGUGUCGUAUAGUUCACUUCGUGUGUCUUAAGCUGUCGGGAGGCAUAAGCGAUAACCUUCCCUCUCUGCAUAAGAACACAACCAAGUCCUUGAUUUGAAGCAUCGCAAUACACUACGAAGUCUUCUAUCCCUUCGGGGAGGGAUAGUAUCGGUGCGGUGCACAAGGCCUGCUUUAGUGUCUGGAAUGCCUUCUCUUGUUUCGCUUCCCAGUCAAAGGCCACACCUUUCUGGGUUAAUGAAGUAAGAGGUUUCGCAAUGCUCGAAAAGUUCUUUAUGAAUCUGCGAUAGUAGCCAGCUAGACCUAGAAAUUGACGAAUUUCUGUAGGUGUCUUUGGUGCCGACCAGUUCUCAAUAGCCUUAAUUUUGGAGGGGUCCACGUGUAUACCUUUCUCGCUAACAACGUGACCUAAAAAUUCGACUCUUCGAAUCCAAAAUUCGCAUUUAGAGAACUUCGCAUAGAGUUUCUCCGUUCGCAGUGUUUCUAGGACUUUUCGUAGGUGCUGACUAUGCUCUUCCUCACUUCGAGAGUAGAUAAGUAUAUCAUCGAUAAAGACGAUGACGAACUGAUCCAAGUAAGGGCGGCAUACCCUAUUCAUUAGGUCCAUAAAUACUGCUGGUGCAUUGGUUAAUCCGAACGGCAUCACUACAAAUUCGUAGUGUCCAUAACGAGUUCGGAAAGCUGUCUUUGGAAUGUCCCCCUCUAGAACUCGUAAUUGGUGAUAUCCGGAUCGUAGGUCUAUUUUGGAGAAGUAGUUCGCCCCUUGAAGUUGAUCGAAUAGGUCGUCGAUACGGGGUAGAGGAUAGCGGUUCUUGACAGUAAGUUUGUUCAGUUCUCUGUAGUCGAUGCACAUACGGAACGAUCCGUCUUUCUUCUUUACAAACAAGACCGGUGCUCCCCAAGGUGAGAAACUUGGUCUUAUGAAUCCUUUUUGAAGGAGUUCAUUAAGUUGACUGGAAAGUUCCUGCAUCUCUGCUGGUGCAAGACGAUAAGGCGACUUCGCUACUGGGGUAGCUCCUGGAAUUAAGUCGAUUCUAAACUCGACUUGGCGUUGUGGUGGUAAUCUGGUAGUUCUUCUGGAAAGAUAUCGGGAAAGUCUCGUACUAUCGAGAUGCUCUUGAUGUCCUUCCGUUCUUGACUUGUAUCAACGUGUGCGCUAGGAAUGCUCAACAAUCCUUCCGCAAGCACUUUCGAGCUUGGAUGCACGAAAUGAUGCGAAGGUUUGUACUAGAUUUGUCGCUGAAGAUAACUAAUGUUUCGUUCUUAGGGAGAUUAAGACGAACUGCUUUUUCAAAGCACAUGAUGUCGGCGCGAAGAAGACUUAACCAAUCCAUGCCGACUAUGACGUCGAAACUUUUAAUUUGGAUUGGCAUGAGAUUGAUUGGGAAAGAAUGGCCGUCUAAAGUUAACGUACAGCCCAUGUAUAUGCAGUCAGUGUUUUCGGUUUUUCCAUUGGCCAUCUCUACAGUGAAUGAUUUUUCUAACUUGCUAGGUUUAGGUUUAAGUAAAUGAAUAAAGUUUUGACUCACGAAGCUUCUCUCCGCUCCACUAUCGAAUAAUAUGCAUGCGUAUGAAUUAUCGAGAAGGAACGUACCAGCAACUAUAGUUGGGUCAGCUACAGCUUCGUCGUGGCCUAUUGCCAAAACUCGUCCCACACCUCCGGUGCCUGCUGCCUUAGGACAGUUUCUCUUGUAGUGGCCCACCUCGCCACAACCGUAGCAAGCCUGCCCUACACCCGCACCGGGAACUUGAGUGAUCGGCUUUGCGGGUUCCUUGCAGAAACGGGCUGUGUGUCCUUUCCUGCUGCAGUUGGCGCACUGCAUAUCUCGACAAGGUCCAUGGUGGUGGUAAUUGCAUUUGGUGCAUUUUGGGAGGUUGCCUAUAUAAGGCUUUGUUGGGUAGGUAUUUGUAGGGGCUGUAGCAGGUACAAUGGCAGCAUUUACUGACACCAGUUGUUUCUUUGCGGAUUCUUGGGAAGACCCACCCUUCCCUUUAAUCCACGCUCUCUUCCUGCCAUUGUUGUUGUUGUUGUUGUUGUUGUUGUUGUUGUUGUUUCCUUUCUGUGGUGCUGGUGCAGAAGUGGUUGAGUUCUGAUGACCUCCGUAGUCGAUCAGAGAUUGUGCCAGUUCCUUAGCACUUUCAAAGGUGUCAGGUUUAGAAGCUAACACGCUUGAUCGCAUUUGGGGCGUCAGUCCCCAGAUGUACCUUUCUAUCUUCUUGCUCUCGGGAGCAAUCAUAUCUGGACAAAGGAUUGCCAGUUCGCAGAAUCUGUUGGUAUAAGUAGCGAUGUCGGUACCCACCAUUCCGAGAGUCCAUAGCUCGUGUUCAAGCUUUUGAAUUUCUCCCCGUGGGCAGUAUUCUCUCAUCAUCAUGGCCUUCAAGCUCUCCCAGCUUAUGGAGUUUGCCACGAUUAGGGUAAGUACUUUAACGUGGCCAUUCCACCAAGUUAAAGCUUUAUCGAGAAGGGUGAAAGUUGCAAAUUUGACCUUGCUGUGCUCGGGGCAGGAGCAGAUUUCAAAGACUGCCUCCGUCCUUUCAAUCCACUGCCUCAGGGCCAUCACACCACCAGUACCAUAAAACAUCCGGGGCUUGGCAUUAGUGAAGUCCUUAUAGGUGCAUUCUCGAGGUGGUCCAUGACUCUCGCCAUGGUUGGAUAGGUGUGUGCCAGAUCCCGAGCCAUUAGUACUCGAGUUAUUGAUCUGUGACAUGGCAGCUGCCACCGCUGCGGUGACUGCUGCUUGAAACAUUACAGCAUCAAAUUGGGGUGGUGGAGGUGGUGGUGGUAUAGGUGCUUCCUCACCGUUGUUUCGCCUUGGAUUCCUACGCGGAGGCAUCCUUCAACUAUAGAUUGAAAAGACAAGGAUAAGAAUUUCAUAGAAUGGAAAAUGUAUGUGUCUCAUGAACUAAAUCGCUAUAGUUCAACAACAGAUGAUAGUAUGAGUCUUAAAAUAGAAGAAUGAAAGUUAUUUGUAAGACUGAAGGUAUGAAACAAGUAUUUGGGUUCACAAAGACCAUUCAAGGUUCGAACGAAAUACUCAACAUAGUAGUAAUAGUGCCACUUAUAUUAAUAUAAAAGUUGUUACAACGAUCAUGAAAAUUUGACCCCUAUAAGGGUCUCCGAUUACAAAGUUCGAGAAAUUUAAAGACUUUUAGCCGAGGUCCUAAGCUAUAACAAAAUUUGAGUCCUUGACAAGCACUACUUGCGUCGAAGGUUGCGCUUGGAGCUUGACUCCGUAUCUGAUUGCUUUGACUCCAUUAGACGCCUAUCGAAAGCGGCUUGUUGUUCCCUUAGUUCGGCGAGGGCUGCAAUCAUUUGCGCUUGAAACGCUUCGGUUUGGAAUUGAGCGUUGUCUUGCAUCUUGUCCAGCCUACGGAUGUCAGAAGUGUGAACCUGCACUUCCACGUUGAUAUCCCGGAGUCGACUAGCUUGUACUCCAGACUGAUAGGACUGAUUGGCUAACUUACCCACCAUUACCGGGAGUGCUCGAUCAGCCGAACCUCCGCCGCGGACAUCAUAGAAGUCCCGGCACAUGCCGUAGGGAGGGCGUAGGUUUUGCUGUUGGCUCCAAUGGUGGAGGUGACUUCCCCAGACGGGAGUCGGUCCUUGAAAGUUCCUUACGAAGACGGGAGGUUGAAUGGGUGGUGGAUCGAUAACUUCCGGCUCUGAGUCGGUACCGGAGUCAUCACCCACUUCUAUGGGUUCCUCGUCCUCUUCGGGAUCAUCUUCGAUCCAUCCUCCGUUGCCUUGGUUGGGAAAGUAGGGGUCGCCAGGGUGGUGAAAUCCAGCCAUUUGACUGUACGAGAAAUAGGGUUAUAAGAAUUGAAUAAAGUCGGAACAUGUAAAACAUGUAAGUUAAACUAGUUUAGAUAGCAAAUACUCCUAUAGUAUUUAAAUUCUUGUGUUUGAUUCUUGUAAUGGUUUGGUAAGUUUUGACUUGUUGCUUACUACGAUCAUUCCUCGAUAUACGUUGGUCCAAUCUUGGGCAAAUAUAGUUGAUCACGCUAUAUUUGUCCAAAAUCUGAUUACAUAUAUCGAGUCUCAAUCGUAGUGUCAACUUGUCUAAAUACUUGUAUAGUUGUAUAACAUGAAAAUAGUUUGUGGUAUGCAUGUAAUUGUACUUAAAUGAACUAUCAAUUUAAGUUGAACGAAAUGCUGCUUAAGUGUAAAAAGAAAAUUUGUUUUGUCAGAGAGUAUUAGUCCCUUAAGCAUUUAUAGUUUGUAUAUCUUAUGUGGUUCGAUAUACUUAGUUCACUAUAAACAUUGCUCUGAUACCAAUCUGUCACACCCCCAAACCUGAACGGCGGAAACGUUCGGGGGCGGAUGACUUCAUGUGGUAACGUAACAAAUGAAUACAUAGUAAAGAAAGCAAUACAACCAUCAUAUAUAUAAUUGAAAGUUUACAUUUGUCAAAAGUUACAUGUUCAAAACUCAAUUACAAUAUGAUGUCAAAAUACGAGAUUAAACUGGCGCCGCAGCAUCCCUUCAUCAAAAGCGAAAUGAAUACCUGAAAUUACUGAUUUCCUGGGACAUACAAGUAAUUUUGAAAGAGUAGAUCAGCAUUUAAGCUGGUGAAUUUCAUAAGUAUUUAAGUGACAAUGUUUGAAUGAAAUGAAAUGUUUUAUCUUUGUUUGUUUGUGUUUAGAAAAUCCUAUAUUUUCUACUAGUAUAAAAGUAGCCUUCACUCAAGACCAAUGUUUGUUUCCAAAAUGUAUGUAAAUGUAAAAUAACCAAUGAGUUUGAAAACCUUGUAAAUCAAUGCAUUUUUAAUACCCCUUGUGAGUUUUAUAACCAUACUAUUGACUCUGAAUGCCUAUACACAACGUUCUUCAGGCGUUGGAAUGUUAUGACGUUUGUCACCCCAAACGGUGGACUGCAGCUAACAGUCAGGGCGCGGGUUGUCAAGCCCGUAUAGAUCUAUACACAAACACCAUGCUCCCCCUCCAAGGGAUUCUGGUAUAUAAUACAGGACUUGAAAUGUGUACUCGAACGUACAUGAAGUUAGUGUCUCACAAAUCCGUGGUAUAAAAACAGAUCUACUUGUUAAAAUGUUACGUUUGUUCUUGUAUACGAAAGUAAACUUCUUGAAAUAUGUGUUUCUAGUACAUAAGAGUUAGAAAUCUGUUCGUAAAACUAUACCUAUUAUAGUUUCCAAAAAGCGUGUCUUGUUUGUUUAGAAAUAUUGAGAAAAGGAAUCACUUGUUUAUGAAAGUAUAGAUUUUUGGUGUAGAGUCUAGGAUAGACAAGAAAAAUCUAAGAACAGUUUAGUUUAUACAUGCAUUACAACAACAUUAUAUUUUAAAAGGUAAAAUGCUAUUGUGACAUAUGUUAUAUAUAUAUAAAAGUUCCUUUAAAGGUUUAUAAAUCGCAUGUGAUUUGAAUAUAUAACAGUAUAUAAAAGAGUUUCUUUAUGUAACACACGAUAAUACUCGUGUGUUUUACUUGUAAUCCCCCCCUUGAAAGCAUAUAAAAGUAUUUAGAAUAAUUAAAAAGGUUGAUUAAGGGGUAUGAAACUCACUUGAAAGUUUUGGAGAUAGCGAGAUGGAAAACCGGGCAGAGUUUCGUCUCGGGAAACGGAUUUUCCUCGGGAUUCUCGGGAAUCUCGGGAGUAAAAUCGACCUUCGGGACUUGAGCCAAAAAGACCAGAGCUUCGGGUUUGAACGGACACGGAAAACGAGGCAAAGUUGAGAGAGAGAGAAGAGAAAUGAGCCCUUUCUUUGGAAACCCUCGCAUCCUAUUUAUAGUAAGGCUGGUCUGCCUCGGUACGCGGGGCGUACGCUCGUACGCAGCGCGUACGCGUACGUCAUGCAUGACCGAAGCCUCGACUGCCUCGGUUCGGAUGGGACGGGUUGCUGGGUACACGGGUCGGAUGGGACGGCGGGUCGGACGGGUCGGGGCUUCGGACAGGUCGGACGGGUCGGUUUCUUCGGAUAGCGCGACGUGGACGAUCAGAGGCCAAUCCUCUCGGUUACGCAGGGCGUACAGGGGUAUGCAGCGCGUACCUCGGAUGAGGACGCUGACUCCCCUUCGGAUAAUAUCCGAAUUUUGAUUAAAAUAAAUAAUUAAUUUAUUUAAUAAACUUCAAAAAUUCAUAUCUUCUUCAUUCGAACUCCGUUUUCGAUGGUCUUUAUAUCCUCGCGUAGGUGAGACUACGCUCUACAACUUUCGUUUAGACUCCGUCGGCAAAUUCCGAAAUUAUUUUUUUAUUAUUUAUUAAAAACCCAUCGUGUUUAAGGAAUUUCUUUGAAAAUUCAUAACUUCUUUAUCUGAUGUCGGUUUUUGCCAGACUUUUUACCGCUUUAAUACUAAUAUCGAGAGCUUCGAUUCUCGUUUAGGUCAUUCCGGCCAAAAGUCGCUCGAUUUUCGAUUCGAGUUUUUAGCUGUCUGUUGCUAAGCCGAACUUGGAAAAAUCAUAACUUCGCUAUAUGAAGUCGGAUUUGGGCGUUCUUUUCACGUACGAUCAUGGUUCAAAGACAUUUAAUCAUAGAAGGAAAUUAAAUAGAACUUAUUUGUACAUUUUAUUAUGAAAGUAAAUUUUAUUACUCAGAAGUGGUUACA